rnacentral:rRNA from 1 species
GAACGCUAGCGGCAGGCUUAAUACAUGCAAGGUCGUGGGGCAGCAUGAGUAGCAAUACUUGAUGGCGACCGGCAAACGGGUGAGGAACACGUACACAACCUUCCUUCAAGCGGGGAAUAGCCCAGAGAAAUUUGGAUUAAUACCCCAUAAUAUAUUUGAUAAGGCAUCUUAUUAAUAUUAAAAGCUUCGGCACUUGAUGAUGGGUGUGCGGCUGAUUAGAUAGUUGGCGGGGUAACGGCCCACCAAGUCUACGAUCAGUAGCUGAUGUGAGAGCAUGAUCAGCCACACGGGCACUGAGACACGGGCCCGACUCCUACGGGAGGCAGCAGUAAGGAUAUUGGACAAUGGACGAAAGUCUGAUCCAGCCAUGCCGCGUGAAGGAUUAAGGUCCUCUGGAUUGUAAACUUCUUUUAUAUGGGACGAAAAAAGGGCAUUCUUGUUCACUUGACGGUACCAUAUGAAUAAGCACCGGCUAACUCCGUG